UUGAUUUAAUUUGACUUUAAUUGAUAACAUAAUGGAAUAUAGCCAGGCUAGCCUUACAGAGUCGCAACACUUUGCGUUGUGUCGAGGUCGGUCUGAUCACAAAAUUCAUAGUUUACCCACCUCUAAUUUGACCACUACAGCCCUGCAUAUAAUGUCAGGUUGGGACCUAUAAAAGCCCUUGCCAUUUGCUUACAUUUGUUAUAUGAUUGUGAUAUUCAUUUGUAAAUUAAUCCACAAUUGUGAUAACUCAUCUUUGGAAAUGCUUGUCAGUUUCCAAACUGUUAUUGCAUGCACACUUUUACAUAUUAUUAGGCAUUGUAAGUCUGAAUAAUUGAAUCAAACGUAUUACCAAUUGGCAGCCGCUAACAGUAUGUUCGGAUACUUGUUGGAAGUCAUGGUCAUCCUCUUGGGAUUAUUAUUUGCUGUUUGGCAAUGCUUUUCCUUUAUGGUACUUGAGUAUCUAUUAAUAUCUUUCAGUUUUUGCUGUCUAAUUUAUUAAUUUCCUUUGAGCAAAGGUUUAACCUUUAUCACCUCUCUGCAUUCAUGCGUAACACCUGCUCUAAAUGUUUCUACUUUUUUAUCUUUUGUUUACAGGAGAACCUUGAGAAUGCCAAUGUUGUGUCAGACAAAGCCAAGCUGUUCCCUGAUCAUGUUACUACUCAGGAGAACCUUGAGAAUGCCAACGUUGGGUCAGAUGAACCCAAGCUGUUCCCUGAUCAUGUUACUACUCAGGUAAUUGAAUAUUAUAGAACCUGUAGUUACUCUCCAUUUUAUGUGGUAUCUUUUCUAGCAUGUUUGCCAAGUAAGGAUGCAACUAAUAUUCCACCUCAGAAACAUCCUGUCCAUCAUUUAGUAGUAGAGUUCACCUGACCGCACACCUUUCUAGCCUAACCCUCUGGAUAUCUUAUAACCCAUUCAUUUACCCUUAUGGGGUCCAUUCAAUUUGAUGGUUCAAUUUUUGUUGUUGAAAUUCACAUCACACACACACACACUUGUUUCCAGUCUUGACAUAGUAGGGCCCUCCCGUUUUGAUUAUAUUUGAGGUGAUUUUAAAUACCUUUAGAAAUGCUUGUCAGUUUCCAAACUGAUGUUAUUACAUGCACACUUUUACACAUUAUUAGGCAUUGUAAGUCUGAAUACUUGAAUCAAACGUAUUACCAAUUGGCAGCCUCUAACAGGUUGUUGGGAGACUUGUUGGAAAUCAUGGUCAUCCUCUUGGGAUUAUUAUUUGCUGUUUUGGCAAUGCUUUUCCUUUAUGGUACUUAAGUAUCUAUUAAUAUCUUUCAGUUUUCGCUGUCUAAUUUAUUAAUUUCCUUUGAGCAAAGUUUUGACCUUUUUCACAUCCCUGCAUUCAUGCGUAACACCUGCUCUAAAUGUUUCUACUUUUUUAUCUUUUGUUUACAGGAGAACCUUGAGAAUGCCAACGUUGGGUCAGAUGAACCCAAGCUGUUCCCUGAUCAUGUUACUACUCAGGAGAACCUUGAGAAUGCCAACGUUGGGUCAGAUGAACCCAAGCUGUUUCCUGAUCAUGUUACUACUCAGGUAAUUGAAUAUUAUAGAACCUGUAGUUACUCUCCAUUUUAUGUGGUAUCUUUUCUAGCAUGUUUGCCAAGUAAGGAUGCAACUAAUAUUCCACCUCAGAAACAUCCUGUCCAUCAUUUAGUAGUAGAGUUCACCUGACCGCACACCUUUCUAGCCUAACCCUCUGGAUAUCUUAUAACACAUUCAUUUACCCUUAUGGGGUCCAUUCAAUUUGAUGGUUCAAUUUUUGUUGUUGAAAUUCACAUCACACACACACACUUGUUUCCAGUCUUGACAUAGUGGGGCCCUCCCGUUUUGAUUAUAUUUGAGGUGAUUUUAAAUACCUUUAGAAAUGCUUGUCAGUUUCCAAACUGAUGUUAUUACAUGCACACUUUUACACAUUAUUAGGCAUUGUAAGUCUGAAUACUUGAAUCAAACGUAUUACCAAUUGGCAGCCUCUAACAGGUUGUUAGGAGUCUUGUUGGAAGUCAUGGUCAUCCUCUUGGGAUUAUUAUUUGCUGUUUUGGCAAUGCUUUUCCUUUAUGGUACUUAAGUAUCUAUUAAUAUCUUUCAGUUUUCGCUGUCUAAUUUAUUAAUUUCCUUUGAGCAAAGUUUUGACCUUUUUCACAUCUCUGUAUUCAUGCGUAACACCUGCUCUAAAUGUUUCUACUUUUUUAUCUUUUGUGUACAGGAGAACCUUGAGAAUGCCAAUGUUGGGUCAGAUAAACCCAAGCUGUUCCCUGAUCAUGUUACUACUCAGGUAAUUGAAUGUUAUAGAACCUGUAGUUACUCUCCAUUGUAUGUAAUAUAUUUUCUAGCAUGUUUGCCAAGUAAGAAAGCAACUAAUAUUCCACCUCUAAAAAAAAACCUGUCAAUCAUUUAGUAGCAGAGUUCACCUGACUGCACACCUUUCUAGCCUAACCCUCUGGAUAUCUUUUGAACACUUUAAUUUACCCUUAUGGGGUCCAUUCAAUUAGAUGGUUAAAUUGUUGUUGUUGAAGCUGACAUCACACACACACACUUGUUUCAAGUCUUGACAUAGUGGGGCCCUCCCGUUUUGAUUAUAUUUGAGGUGAUUUUAUUUACCUUUAGAAAUGCUUGUCAGUUUUCAAACUGAUGUCAUUGCAUGCACACUUUUACACAUUAUUAGGCAUUGUAAGUCUGAAUACUUGAAUCCAACGUAUUACCAAUUGGCAGCCUCUAACAGGUUGUUGGGAGUUAUAGCCAUGCUCUUGGGAUUAUUAUUUGCUGUUUUGGCAAUGUUUUUCCUUAAUGGUACUUAACUAUCUAUUAAUAUCUUUCAUUUUAUGCUUUCUAUUUGAUUCAAUUCAUUUGAGCAAUGUUUUUUUUGUUUUAGGUUUAUAUAUCUUCAUGGUUGACAUAAUAAUGAAACGUAUAUUAUUUUGUAUUUAAUCAUAUUUAGGUGUUUUCUGUCAGAGGAAUUUCACUUGUGGAUUAUUCUGACUCUGAUGAAACCAGUUCAGAUUGUUGGAAAGACCAGCCUAUGACUCCUCAUAUUGAUGAAGUUAAGGAAAAGCUCAACGACACAAGAAAAAUUCCGGUAUGCCUCAUUUUAAAGGAGAAUAAAAUGUUGAUGGUCCACUUGUCUAAAACAAAUUCUCUUGUGUUCCUCUCAUUGUCAUUUUAAAGAUGGAAAGCGUUUCAGACCAUUGGUCUCCUCUGCAUGAUUCCUGUGAAAGUGUAGUGGAGGAAAGUGAAGCCAUUGAAGAAUCCAGUGAUGUCGACUCUUUCAAAGACAAUUCCAAGGAUGAGGAUGUUGUUCCCAAACUGAGGAGGACCGAAAGCUCUCUGGUAUGCCUCUGACAUAGUUUAUAAAUAGCUAUUUAAAAGACCAUUUCCCCUGAAAUUGAUUCAAGAAAUUAUCAAUAAUCAAUAACCAUUGCAUUAUGCACUUCUCUUUUUGUAGAAAGAAGUACCUGAUUUCUAUAAUAAUAUCUAUGACACAAGUGAUGACAGUGCCCCAGACUCCACUUUUAAGGCUGCACAGAGGCAGAGGCCAAGAAGAGCCUGUCGCCAUCCAGUGAGAUUCAUUUUACAUCAUGUUACAUCAUGUUAAUACUUAGUUUUGGGUAGUGGUAGAAAACACAAUGUUCAGAGUUGGACUUGGAGUGCUAGAUAUUCUGAUUAUACAGGAAUACAUAUGUGAAACUUAUUGUCAUGUUGAUUUUAAGGCUACCUUUAAAGGUAAAAAGCCAAAUAUUUUUGUGUUGAAUUUCGAAAUUAUUUUAGACAGUAAAACCCAGUAUUGUGGGUGACUAAUUUGUUUUAAUAAUUGUUUUCGUUUAAGAUUCAGAAGAGUCUUCUAGAAUCAGAUGACUCUAGUGGAGACAGUGGUGAAGAGUAUCUUCCAAAUCCCAAAGAUGAAGGAACAGAUAGUGACAGAAGCUCAGAGUUAUCUUUGGAAAGGAAAGAAAUGAACAAAACUACUAAGGGCAGCUCCAGGUCGCCCAGCAAGGGCAGCUCCAAAUCAAGCCAGAGCAGCUUCAAGUCUUUCAGCAAGAAUGGCCUAAAAUCAUCAAGACAGGGCAGCUCCAGGUCUUCUUUUCAGAGCAGCUUACAGACAUCCAAGCACAGCAAAGUGAAGUCGUCGAAGCAGAACAGGGUCAUGUUUUCCAGUCAGAGAAGUUUUGCGUCUUCCAGAAAAAACAGCUUCAGAUCUUCUAGUAAUAGUCAGUCUGAGCAGUCUGAGGCCAGUCAGAGCCAAUUUGAGUCCAGACACACCCAGUUCAGGUCCACUGAGAACAACAGAGGCUUUGAAAUCAGUCAUGAGUCCUCUCAAAGUGUUGAUGAUGACAAAGGUGAUGUAAAUGAUGAUGUGGUUCAUACUAACAAUGAAGUGAGUAUUUCAGUACCCCUUGAAGAAGUCUUUGUUGAACCUGUUUUGAAGAAAGCGAGUGGAAAAAUAUGUUAUAACAAGAAACAUCACUGCUUGUUUUGCGGGCAAGAAGUUCAGAAAAUGUCACGACACUUGCUGCGUAAACACAAGGAUAAUGUUGAAGUGGCCAAAGCAUUUAUCUUCCCAAAAAAAUCCAAAGAGAGGCGACUACAACUUGAUCAUAUCCGAAAUAAGGGGAACUAUGAGCAUAACAUGGAAGUUAUGGAGAGCCAAAAAAGGAAAACUAAUCCCAUAAAAGCAACCAACGGAAAAAACUGAAGGAGCAGAUUUCCUGCAUUGUGUACACUGCUAUGGUUUGUUUAAACGAAAAGCAAUGUGGCGACAUUUUAAGGUCUGCAAAUUCCAACCUGAAACAUCAAAACCUGGACGAAAAAGAGUCCAAGCUUUAUGUGCAUUCGCUGAAACUACUCAAACAAGAUUUCCCAGUGGAUAUUGGACGCUUCUAAAAGGGAUGAAUCAAGACACAAUUGCAAUGGCUGUCAAGCAAGAUAAUUUCAUUCUUGAGUUUGGUUACAGACUCUUCAAGAAGAAUGGUAAAGCAAAGAGCCAACACCAGUACAUUCGACAAAGACUGAGAGAGCUUGGCAGACUGGCACUGGAAACUAAAAAAAGUGCAACAGCGAAGACUAUUAAAGAUCUCAUUAAACCGGAAAUGUAUGAUCAUUUGGUCACUGUGGCAAAAUGCAUUGCCGGAUUUAGUGAUGACACUAUAUCGAUGUGCAUCUAUUGCUCGGAAACUUGGCCACACCUUGCAUGGCUUUGCCAUGUUUGUUAAAUCUCAAGGAUUGAAGAUGAAGGAAGAAAUUACUGUAAAAAAUGCUGAGGAAUUCAUACAGCUAUACCAAGAUAGCUGGAAAUAUGACAUAGGAAGCCAAGCCCUAACCCAGCUCAACCAGGCCAAAUGGAAUGCACCUCAACUGCUACCGCUAACACAAGAUGUUCAAACCCUUCAUUUUCACUUGUCUGUAGGGAUGGGAAUUGAUAAGAAUUUCACGAUUCCGAUUCUGCUUAUCGAUCCGAUUCCUUAUCGAUUCUCUUAUCGAUUCUCAUUGGGUGAGAAAAUAAGUAUAAAUGUGUUUGUUUGCAUUACAUCUCUUUAAUAUCUGAUCAGAAGUGCUUCUAGUAUUAGGAAAUUGUACAUUUUCAAAUCAAUUGGUCUAGACGAAAAGAUAUAUGUUUCGCUUUUUAAGCCCAAAUGCCAUCAUUAUGUGCCAUACAACUAAAAACAAAGACUGAAAACAGCCAAGUAAGAGCUUGUGCCUUUUGGAAUUCUAACAGUGCUCAUUUGCAUUCAACUUGUAACAAAAUUAAACUGACAUAAACAAAAUGAAGCAUUGAUUAGACAGAGAUUUAUUAGAUGGGCCUACCUAAUAAACCGUUGGAACACACAAGACCGGAAACCAUAGCAAUGCCGGUAAACAAACCCCGAGAAGCCCAAUCCCUAUGAGAGCUCCCCACGCUACGGCCAUCCGGAGGCGACAGAGCUGUUGGCCGUGAUAUUAUAUAUACAAUUAUAAUAUAGUAUAUAAUAUAUUAUAUACUAUUAUAUAUAGAGCUCCGGGAGUCGCAAACUGCAACAAUCACUUUCUCCUCCAUUCCGCGGUUCACCCGGACUGCACUGCACUGAGUUUGACGGCUGAACGCGGAUUGGCUGUUACGUUACACAUGUCACUCAGUUAUCAAGCUGUUGAACGCUGAUUGGCUGUCAUCACGACAAAAACUUGUCAUCGGUUUUCUCCCGCGAAAAACUCGCCCUUAUACGCGUCUCUACGUUCACUUUGUAUGGGAUCUUGUCGCCCCGUCGCGUUUGGUGUGAACGCACAAUGCGAUUCUUCCUCGGCGGCGACAUGUUUGCUGCGUUCUGAACCAAAUCAAAGCAGCGUGUGUGUGACGUCACGACGCAUUUGCCGCGACCGGAACCGAUAAGCGGAAUCGUUAAGCAGGCUUGCUAACGAUUCCAAGGAAUCGGUUGACUCGGAACCGGUUCUGAACAAGAACCGGUUCUCGAUUCCCAUCCCUACUUGUCUGAGAAACAGCAACAACUUUUGAAUGCCCUAAAAGAAGAGACUUCGUCCUCAAACUGGAAAGACCUUGCUAAAGUGACAUUGGCACAAUUGAUCAUUUUUAACCGCCGUAGAGAAGGAGAGGUGUCAAGGACGCCGCUAUCUGCAUAUUUGUUGAUGGAUGUAUCUGAAACACAUGAAGAUAUUAACUUGGCUCUCACACCACUUGAGCAGAAGCUCUGCAAACAUUUUUCCAGGAUGACCAUAGUUGGAAAGAGAGGAAGAAAAGUUCCUCUUCUGCUCACCCCGAUCAUAAGGGAAUCACUUGAUCUACUGGUUGAAAAGCGAGAGGAGUGUGGGGUGCUGAAUGAAAAUGUGUUUUUAUUUGCAUUGCCUCAAUCUGAAAACAGCCUCAGGGGUUACAGCUGCCUCAAAGAGUUAGUGGAAGAUUGUGAUGGUAUCAACAAUCCCACAGCAUUAACCUCAACAAAACUCAGGAAACACAUUGCAACCAUGUCGACUGUCCUGAAUUUACAAAAUACCGAACUUGACCAGUUAGCAGAUUUCCUUGGGCACAACAUUGAUGUCCACAGAAAGCACUACAGACUCCCAGAAGGCACUCUUCAAAUAGCCAAAAUUAGUAAAAUUCUUCUGGCAUUGGAACAAGGACGGCUAGGGGAAUACAAAGGAAAAAAUCGGGAUGAAAUUCAUAUUGAUGUUAAUGGUAUUACACAUGAAUGGAUUUGAAUGCAACAAUAAUUAUAAUGUUCUGUAUCAGUAAGAGGUUGAUUUCAACAGUUAUACAUUUUAUACCAAGUUGAUUCAUAUUGUACCAAUUACCUUUUUUGAAACCGUUGACUCACAAGAUUGUCCCCAAGAGAACAGUGAAGGUAUGUGUCAGCGAUUGAUUGAUUGGUUUGGUUGUUGGUUGAAUUAUUUAAUAAUGACCACUGCAUGCAUUCUGUCUCAUGCCCAUGGGUGUCCCUGGUUACUAAUGAACAUCUUUUUCGAGUACACUAAGGCACAAGUACUAUAUAGUUACAUACCCAUAUGUGCAUCUUCAGGUAUGCUGGAAGGAGUCAGAAGAUGCAACUUUUUUGUCAGAAGGUACCACCACACUAAAUGCCAGUAAGAUGAGUUACAAUUAUGAGGACAGUUAGGCAUGGAACUUUUCAGUGCGUGCAAUGCAUGCUUUGGUACAAGUUCCUUUCAUUUUUUUGGUAUUUGUGGCAUAGUGGUGCAUCGGUUUCCCCAUGAAACAGUGAGAACAACUUUACACUGUUGGUAGAAGUGAGGUCUACAUAAAGUAUUGCAGUACAUGUGUGUUUUUUCAUAUUUUGAGUCAAUAUGUCUGUCUGAUCCAUUUGUGCCAUUUUUUAUUUGUACCAAACUAUCAGAAGUACAGGGAUCAGAGGAUGAGACUACAUCAACCCUGCUAGAAGGUACCGCCUCUGUGAACUCCAAAAAGAAGAGAUUGGCAAGAAAGAGAGGAAUAUCAGAAGACGAAGCCACACCUCUCACAACAUCCGGCACAAAGAAAAGCAAGCCGUCAAGAAAGAAAGGUACAAAACCUGCCAUCAGAAGACCAUGGACGCCAGAGGAGUGUGCAGCAAUUAAGCGGCAAUUGAGAAGGUUUUUAAUAAUGAAUAUGACACCGGGUAAGUCAUAUUGUGAAAAAUGCCUUUCCGAAGAACCCGAGGCACUCAAAAACAGAAGUUAUGAACAGAGAAAGAAAUUGAUGUAAGAAAAAAUAGGAAAGGUUUUUCUCAUCUCUUGGAUUGUUGGAUUGAUGCAAAAGUCAGGUUUUAUUACCAUGCAAAAUGGUAGAAAUGUUCACAAUACAGUUCACAAAGGUUCAACCUAUGCCUGCCAUCGGCAUUCAAGCUAUAGCUUAAAAAAUGUUAAGUUGUUGCUGUUUGAUUUCGAUAUUCAUAUUCACGUCAUAAGAACUGAAACUACCGAUGGCAUUAUGGUCUUUUUUUGUCACUGUACCAUACCAAGUAAUACUCAAAGAUGAAUUAAAGUGAGAAAUGUGAGUAAACUCUGAUUAUUUAAUUACUCAUGGAUAGAAAUCAGACAAAUGGGAGAGGGAGGUCGAUGUUCAAGCUGGAAAGUUAAAAACAAAAUCAUGCCUUGCUAAUGCCUAAUCCUGCCCAGGAGGACAAACCAAAGAUUUCUCUCGAUGUUUGGUCAUAUUGUAAGUGGCACUUGUAGGCAUGCUGUAUAGGCUGUUUCCUUAAGCCUCUAUGGUGGCUGGGGUGGGUAUAUUUGACCCCUGUGUUCAAGAAAGUGAUGCAAAUCCAGAAGCGUGUAGGGUUCAAACUCCAAAGGGGUUUAUUGGGACAAAACUAAAAUAAAAAAUCGAAAGGUUAUCUAGGAAUAACAGAAUAAAAGGUGGCAAAGAUAACAUGAAUUCAGAUUGAGCACUCCUUGGCUUAUUGUUGAAAACUUUCCCUUACCUCUCCAGCCACACACCAAAGGUAACAUCACCUGCUGAAGUAGAGGUGUCACAGUCCAACCACUAAGCAGAGUCAUGCAGGUCUUCCACUACAGAAGAAUCUUGACACUAUAUUUAAAUACGGUAGCAUUACAUUGUAAUCCAAUAAUUAGCUACUUUGGGCCCCAUUAUGUGGUAAGAAUAAGAAAUAUCUGUGUUUGACCGUGGACCUUACAAGGUAGCAAAGUUAAAAACGGGGCCCCAAUAUGAUGGUAAAA